rnacentral:lncRNA from 1 species
CUUGGAAUACAUCGAUGCAGAUGGGUGGAUGCUGAAUUGACAAAUUAAGAAACACGACCACACUUGUACACUAUCCACGUCUCAAGGUUUCUUCUAUCCUCUGCAGAUCUAGAAUUGUUAAGGUUGAACUUCUUAAACUGCCAAGAUUCUGGUCUCCUUUCCCAGACUUGCUUAACCUAGCUAGAUCGGUCAGCCUCAAGCUCAAAAAGGGUUCCGAUCAAAAUUUAAUUACAAGGCAAACAUCUCAGAGACAUCCAUCCCUAUGUAAAUAUCUCAUCUACUCAGAAAAGGGACUUAGUUCUUGAGGGCGGUCCAUGUUUGCAAAGACUAUUAUAGAUCUUAAUAUUAUUUUUCUACUAUUUUUUCAAAAGUCCAUGAAUUAUUUUUCAUUAAACAUGGAACAAAAAGGCUCCAUUGCAUGUGUCAUUUCAUUUGUCAACAUGCAUGAAUCCUAGGAAGUUAUCCUUGACAAUCAAUAAACACAACAACGUACUGCUGCAUAACCUUUUAACAUGAUGAUUAAGGCAGCUCGAACCAAGAACAAAUCAAAUUGUGAACAAAUUAAGUUCCUCAGCUAACUAAAUGAAUAAGCUCGUUUUUUUACUACAAGCACAGAUAAGCUGAUGUACUAUCAUUCAUGGAUGCUGUCGUGGGGGAUUUAAAGGUGCUCUGUAGCUUGAAAGUCAUUUUUUAGCUGUUGUUUCAGUUUGUUCUAGUUUUUAUGGCUGUCUUUAUGCAACUUAACCAGACUACAUAUGAUGAAUAUUAAAUGUCCAGCAUGAGGUGAUACCAUGAUUUCUAGUGCUGGUGUUUGUGUGGAUAUACCAUCAGAAAUUUCCAAUGCAAUCCUAAGAGUAGGAUUGAAAUCUGCUUGGUCGGUCUUUUUUUAAAGAACAUGAAAAACAAAAAUAAUUACAUUUGAAUUGAGGCUAAUUAACGAGCCAGCCCUUGUUUAUCAUCCUCAGAUCCCGUUACUGUUUAAAUAACUUGUAAGUUGAAUGGCCAUGAUAGUUAAGUUUGGGUAAACAUGUCAUACACUUAUCACUAAUUUAGAGAUGCUGAAGCAAGCAAGAAGAAUUCCAUGCAUGUGUUUCGAAGAUGCCUAAUGAAUCGAGAGACAAUACUGCAGUAGCAAUUGAUUCACAGGCUCAUCGCUACUUCAAUUGGUUUAGGAGGGAGAGUUCUACAUCGACUAGUGCACUUAUGCAGAACACCUUUGUUUUUUCUUUCUUUGAAAAAGACACAGAAACGUUUGUGAUUAUAGCUUCAGUAAUGAAAUCAAGGAAGAGUUAGGUUUCUUUCGUUUAUUUUUUGGCAUUUCUAGAAUGGCUUCAAUGUUCUUGCUUCACGAAAUGAAAAGGGUUAUCAAAACAUCCUUUCCCUAUACGUCAUAUCAAACACGGCCACAGGUUCUGGACAUAAAACAGACAGUUAACUGAGAUUACUAGCAGUCUAGCACUAUGACAAUUGAAGUUCAAGGCAUCGUUUUCAAUAUGUUGGUACCAACUGCAUGCUUUUUAUUGACAUUUGAACAAUUAGAGAGAUUAAGAAAAUCAAUAAGGCAUGUGCAGUUUCUUGGAUCCAAAUCAAUAAGCUUGUCUCGAUAUUGAAUCGGUGAAGUAACCUUGACCAUAUUAAACUUGCACAACAAAAUUGAAGCUUCAAUCUCUCAAGGUUAAUUUAUAGCCUUUGUAAAAAUCUGGCAUAGAUAGGUGCUCACAAUUGCUAAGGCUUGCAUAUUUUAAAUCGACAAGAUUCUUGUUUCCUGUCUAAAUGAUAGCGUCUUGUAGUUAUCAUAAAGAACCAAAAACAAUUAUUCAUCCCAAUGCAGUAUCUCAUCUCCUAUGAAAGGAACUUGACGCCAGCCAUGAGGAAGGUGCACUUUUCAGUUAUUUUUAACACCAGAAUUAUAAAUCCUGAGCAAUCUAAGUUUGGAUUUCGUCGCAAAGAUUCUGGAAUUUAAUUUACUCUCAAAAAUAUUUUUUGAAAUGUCCAUCAACAUCCCUUCAAUGUCAACGUUUAUCUAGUAAGUUGCAGGAUUUCUUUCAUUCUCGCCAAACUCUUUUCCCCUAGGAUAGUUGGCAAUCACGGUUCCAGGUAAUUGAAUGUCUUCUCACAUGUUAACUAGCAAGGAAAAAAAAAACCCCUAGCUAUGUGGCUCAACCGUGAUGUUCGAGUAUGGAAUGAUCAAGGUCAAAUUAAGUAUUCCUAAAUGCUUAGCUGAUUCAAAAAUAUAAGCUAUCGAUGUAAUAAAUUUCAAAGAAAAAAAGAAGUUAGUACCCGUCUUCUAAGACCAUUCCUUCCAUGUAUGCAACUUCUUUAAGAGCCUUCCUCCACCCCUCCACCUUCUCCAUCUGGUCCUUGAAACGUAUCUCAUGCUUGGCAAGCUCUUCACCAUACCUCCCUGUUUGGGUCCCCACCUCAGAUGGAUCGACAUCGUAGAAAACUGGAAACACUAUGUGCCCAACAGUUCUUCUACGUUCCAUGAUCAUCGCUAGCUCGUCAAGACACCAUCUCGAAGAAGCGUAGUCUUUAGAAAACACAAUAAUGGAUAGUUUUGUUUCGUUAAUUGCUUUCUUGAUUUCUAAAUCAAUUUUCUCUCCUCUCCGGAUCCCAUCGUCGUCUCUGAAAGUGCGAAUCUCUGCUCUACAUAGAGCUGUGUAGAGAUGGUCCGUAAAACUUCGACGGGUGUUUUCGCCUCGGAAACUCAAGAACACGUCGUAAGUACUGGGCAUCAACGAGAGAAGAAUCAAGAUUUGGGUCACUGGGUUGAAAGCCAUCGGUUUGACAAAGAGAAGUAUGUCGAAAGAAACAAAGUUUUUUGUGUUGGAAGAGAUGCAGAUCUCACUUGAUUCUUUGUUUGAAGAAAGAAGAGAGGCAAAAGGUUUUUUUUUUUUUUUUUAAUCUGUUUAGGAAGUUUCUUCGUUCAUGUGCUUUUUUUGUAUGGCUGCGGUCUGUCGAUAUGUAAAACGUGGACCUCUAAAGUUUAAAGAAGUGAUCUAACUAUGAUUAAACUAUACUAAAAUAUAUCAUGUAAAACUAUACUAAAAAGUUACUUUUUUUGGUCCCUAUUAUUCUUUUAUAUGCAUGAUCAGUCCUAGGGAUUGCUCCUUGACAAUCGAUAAACACAACAAGAAAGUGCUGCACAACCUUUGGAACCAAGAACCAAUCAAAUCUGGUCUUGAAAGGUGCUCACAAUUACUAAGACUGAACUAUUUUAAAUCGAUAAGAUUCGUGUUUCCUUUCUAGAUGAUAGCUAGGUUAAAUUAUCCAGAAAAAAAAUGGAAGGCAAAGAUCUGAAAAGGUAAAACAAUUAUUCAAUUACUCAUAUACCUGUCUUGCUGCAGCACCAUUCCUGCCAGGUCUGCGGCUUCUUUAAGAGCGUCCCUCCAACUUUUCACUCUAGCCAUUUCCUUAUGGAAGCUUUUUUCGUGUUUAGCAAAUGCUUCUUCAAACAACCCUUUCUGUUCACUGACCUCCGACGGAUCAACGUUGUAAAAAACGGGAAGCACAAGGAGCCUAGUUUUAUCCCUGGCAUCCAUGAUGUGCACAAGCUGCUCCAGGCACUUUGUUGAAGAAGCAUAGCCUUUAGAGAACACAACAACCGAUAUCCUGGAUUCCUGUAUCGCUUUCUUGAUAUCAGACUUUUGUCCUGCGUAGAUUCCACCAUCAUCUCUAAGAGUGCGAAUCCCAGCAGAAUUGAGGUCUUUGUAGAGAUGAUCGCCAAAAUUCUUGCCAAUGUCGUGGUGGCUAAAACUCAAGAAAACAUCGUUAUCCUUUCUGGAGAGGAGAAGCAUCAACAGAUUGAUGAGUGAGAACAAACCCAUUGGAUGGUUGGUGAAGAAAAAAUGCCGAAAUUAAACUGGAGUAUGAGAAAGAUGGAAGUUUCCGAUGGGAAUGGGUGAAACGGCAACGACGGGAGGAUUUUCAGGGCACCCGGAAGGGAAUAAAGAAAACAACUGUUCAGGUUCCCAAAUUUGACCCGUUUGGUUCACUAAUAAUGACUAGCCAUCAAUAUUGACCAAAGUGCUUUUUUUUUUUUUUUAUGUGUCUCCUGUUUGAAUUUUGAUGAGCGCUAAUGGUGUACAUCUGAACGUGCUUUGUUUUGUUUUAAAAAAGAAUCAUUCUUCAAUGGUUUUGUUUGUUUUUUUUGUUUUUUUGAAUUCAAUUCUCUAAUUAGGAAUUAAUUUUGUAAUUUAAUUUAAUUUAAUUUUUAUGAAGUUAUUUCUAAUCAUGGAUUUUCUAGAGUUUUAAGUGAUUAAAUGGUGUUUUUGUUUGAAAAUAGACUUUAUGAGGUUUUAUGAUUAUUUUAAAAAAAGUUUUGCAGGUGAAAAUGAAAAUUGAGUUUUAAAAUCCCAUUGGAGUGGUCGGUGAGUAAGAAAUGCCGAAACUAGAAGGAUGGAAUUUCCCUAUGCGAAUGGGGAGACACGGAAACGAUGGGAAGACUUUUCAGGUGUGAUCCGCCACCUGCUGGUAAUUGAAAGUGGAAGCAAGAGAGCGAGGUGAGGUCUGGAACCCUACUGCGAGAGGGAAGCCUCGUGGGCCAAAUUAGUGCGCACGUGGCCCAGAUUUGAUAUGUUUGGUCCUUUUCUGUCGACCCAAUUAAUAUUGAUCGAGACUUGGGUUUCUUUUGAAGAAACAGGGCCUGAUAGUUCAUCAAGCGGAAAAUCAAAACCUGGAGCAACAAUUACUUUUUAUAUUUAUUGACACUUUAGAUUUCAAUGGUGAUUAAAAAAAACAAAAGUGGUUAUUGAAUUUAUUUUUUAUUGGUAUAGUUAAACCUCUGUUUUUUUUUUAGCAUCAAUUAAAAUCCAAUUGCAUAUUUUAUUUUAUUUUUGAAGAGAGUGUUGAAUUGAGAAACAGGGUAUAAAAGUAAAAAAAACAUAUAAAAUAGGUAACAAUUUUGAAUUUUUUUAAAAAAAUUCAUUUUAAUCCCUCUUUUUUUUUAUCUAAUAGGUAAUCACUCCCUCAAAAUUUUAAAAAUUCAAUCUUGGCUUAAAACUUUAUUUUUCUCUUUCGGUCAUUUUUUUAUGGAGAGGGGGGAUUAUGAGAUUCCAAUAUGCAAAGAAAAUUGUGAUUGAAGAUGAUUUUGAGUACCAAAAUAAUUGAUUUUGAUGUUAAAUGAUUCUAUAUAAUAACAAAAAGUUCAAAUUAAGUGUUUUUUUUACCGGGAAAGCAUCUAAAAAAUCCUAUAUAAGCUUAGAAAUAUUUUAUUUUUAUUUCAAGUUGAUUAUGGGUUUUUGAGUAACUUUUUUGUGUUUUUUUUAGGCUAUAAAUUUAUUUAACAAGAUUUCUAAAAGGUUUCUAGGAUGUUUAUAAUUGUUUUGUAUCAAAAAUAGAAUGAAAAUGGGUUUUGGGUUCAGAAAAAUAGAACGUCUUCCGUAACCCUCUCCAUCUCAACCUGGAAGCCUUUCUCGUGUGAAGAAAACGCUUCAUGAUAUCUCCCUUCUUGGUUCCUAACUUCCGAUGGAUCCAAAUGGUAAAAUAUAGGCAGCAAAAUGUGCCCAGUAGCUCUCCUAGUCUGUUUUGAGCUUUUGUUUCAGCUAGUUCUAGUUUUAUGGAUGUAUUUGUGCAACUUCACCGGCUUAUAUACGAUAAAUUAUUUGGCGAUACCAUGAUUUCUAGCACUGGUGUUUGUGAUGGAUAUACCAUCAGAAUGUUUAAGUAAUCCUAAUGGUAGGAUUGAAAUUAUUUGGUUGGUCUUUUCAAAAGAGCAUGAAAAUUAAAAAUAAUUACAUUUGACUUGAGGCUAAUCUGACAAACCAGGCCUUCUAUAUCUACCUCAGCUCCUAGUUUCAGUUGCUGUUUAAAUAACUUUUAAGUUAGAUGAUGGUGCUGUUAAGUUAUGGAUAAACAUGUCACACAAUUAUCAAUAAUUUAGAGAAUAUGAAGCAAGCAAGAAGAAUUCUAUGGAUGUGUUUGGAAGAUGCCUAAUGAAUGGAGAGACAAUACUACCUUGCUCAUCCCUACUUCAAUUGGAUUAGGAAAGAGUUCUACAAUGACGAGUGCACUUAUGUAGACCACUUUAUCUUUUCUUUUUUUUUUUUUAAAGAGACACAACGCUGUUUGUGAUUAUAGUUUCAAUAAUGAAAUCAAGACAGAGUUAGGUUUUAGUAAUGAGAUUACUAGCAGUCUCGCACCAUGAUUAUUGAAGUUAAGGCUUGUAAGCAAAUUGGAAAGAAAACAAAAAUGCAGUUUCUUAUAAAUGUUUUAUAAAAUAUUCUGAGAGAUUUAUUUCAUCUGUGUAUUUUUAGCGGGAUUUUUUUUUUGUAUGCAUUUUUCACCUGUAAAAUCAUUAAUUUUUAAUUUAUUUUUUUUUAUUGACAAAAUUAGCGACAGAACAUUAUACCAAUGGACAUAUUUUAUCGGUGAAUUAGUAGGUAAAAUUUUCACCGAUAAAAUGAUAAUCUUGCACCGAUAAAAAUAUUUUAUCUAUAAAACUGUUAAAUGUUGCGGUGUUUCAUGGUUUUCUAUCAUCAUGAGAUCUCUUUUCUUUGUGAAAGCCAAUAGCUUCAGGUAUAAGAAGUGCAGCAGUCUAGGAUUCCUUCACCCCAUAUUGCUUCAUUUCCAUCUUCCUAGAAUAAAUUCCAGCCCCAAAACUAAUCUAAAGCUUCAUCGCACGCAUCCUAAUUUCUUAAACAUGAAACAUAUAACUGGUAAUUGCCACAAUAAUAAGCCAAGUUGAGAUUUCAAUCUAAUGUGAAAGUCUUCCAGUAACAACCGCAAAAGCAUGGAAAGCAGUAAGGAUGCACAGAUGUCCUUAUAGAAUAAAUUUAUUGUUUCAUAAUGUCUAACAGAAAAGAGGCAACAAAAAGGCUGGGAUAGCUCAGUUGGGAGAGCGUCAGACUGAAGAUCUGAAGGUCGCGUGUUCGAUCCACGCUCACCGCAUUUCUCUCUUUUUCGAUUUAGUUUCUUAAUAACGUCUUUUCCCGCCAAUUUCAGUUAGCGAAUCUCUCCUGUUUCCAGCUCCUAAACCCGAGCAGUGACAAUUCCAUCAAGAACAGAAACAAUCCAGUCACCUGAGAAACAUUGCCACCGCGGGCAGCUUGAAGGUUCACCAAUAUUCCGCUUCAAAUCAAGCACAUGAUCAAACUUUUUCUUACCAAGUUUCGGAGAAUCUGGAGAAACAAAAGACAGAUGGAUUAUGCACCGAGGAGUGGCGGGACAAAGAUUUUGAGGGUGGUAAAGUGUAUUUGGCAUGUUGCCCCCAAGUUUCGGAGAGCCAGAGCAGUGCUGCUGUUCCUGCUCUUGAAUUUUGCCUAGGCUUUUGCCAAUUUUGCUUAGUGUUCAUAAUCUGCGUUGUUGAAACUGAAGAUUUCUUCUUCUUCUUCUUCUUCUUUUGAAGUUGAUUCUAAGCUUUGAUCCGGACUUUGCGGUUUCAAAUGAGAAGGAAGCAAUCAAUAAUGGACCAUCCCUACUCUUCUUUGUUUGGACUUGACAAGUAGCAAGGGAUGAAGGAGGAGGGACAGCAAGCUGCUUAUGGUCACUUUGGAAGGGAUGACCCUGACUUUACAAGGGAGGUUGUGAAGCCCCUGAAAUACCAGAAGCCCCAAGUGUAAAAUCAUGACAUGCAUGGCCUGUAAUCAAUAAUUUGCUUGUUCUAGCCAGCAGCUCGAAAACCCGAGAGUCUUCCAGUUGUUUUCUUGCCUUUUCUGCUUAUUUAUUUUAUUUUGAAGGUUUUGUAUGUUUUUUCCAUACAGUAUUAGUGUAGUUUUGAGUUUUAGUUAAAAACAAGAAGACGGGUGAAGAGCUGCCUUGUCACCUUGAAACUUCAUGAGAUUGCAAGUAGAGAACACGGAUGUAACACUGUAAAAGGACGAACUGCAGAAAAAAUGAAUUUCAUAGUGGAAGAAGAUGAUUGUUCAACUUGCACACUUCACCAUGUUUUGUCUGCCUUGUUCUCUUCUCACAUAGAUUUUCUUCAAAAACUAAUGCAAUGUUCAGGUACAACGAGAUGACCUUGCUUGAACUAUCAUCAUCUUUCUACUCAGCUGCUAAACUCUCUUGUCCGAAGCAUAGAACCAAAAAAGUACUCUCUGAAUUCAAAUGAUGAUACAGCAGGAUUUUGAUUGGUUGAUAAUGAGUAAAUGUCUCUUUUCUUAUAAGCCAAAGAAGUUCAUAAUGGCAGAGGAAGCAACCUAUAAACUGAACAGAGAAAGGCACAGAACCAGCAUUGACGAAGCUAUAAAACCUCCAGAAAUCUCAAAGACUUGAUAUGAAUAACUUGGAUCACUUAAGUCACGAAUAUCAAAAAGAGCAAUCCCCACGAGCACUUCAUAACAAUGAAGAAAAUAUCAGUAAAAUGAAAUGAUUGUCUCAAAAGUUUCUACACUCUGAUCAUUAAUUUUCUUGGUUCCGUUUCUUUUCCUCACGCGCACACAUCAUAUUUCUUGAUGUGAAUACCUUAUCUAUUAUUUUUUAAAAUUGUUUCGUUAAUCUUUGUUUAAUAGUAAUUAAUUUUUAAUGCUAUUUUUUUAAUUUCAUAAAUCUCCAAAGAGAUUAUUGUUAUUUAUUUUUAUUUUUUUCAUUUUUCAUUUUAUAUAAAUAAAUUAUAUUUAUGUGACAUAUUUAUAAAAAUAAAAAAAAGUGUCCUUGGUUGCUAGAAUCAACUUCUAACAUAUAAUAAAUAAAUAAAAAUAGAAAAUACAAAGAGUAUUUGCAUGUGCAUUUAUCUUUUACUUUAUUGAAAAUAUUAGCUUUUCAUUUCAGUAUUUAAUUAGCAUUAACAAUUAUUUUUUGAUUUGUUGGUUCAUAUAUUUUUAAAAUUUGUUUUAUUAAGCGGCAAACAAUAUCUUUUUAUUUUCAUGUUAAAAAAUCAUAAUACCUAAAAUAUAUUUAUAAUAUUGACAUAUUUUUUUACAUUAAUUCAUGUAUUAAAUUGAUUUAUGGCAGCUUCCAAUGCUACUUAACUUGUUACUCCACCUUUAACUUAAACUUCCAUUACCUCUUCUUUUUUUUCAUAUAUAAUGACAGAAAAAUGUGAGAAAAAAAACUGAAAAAUUAAAACGAGAAAAAUAAUAAUUUAAAAAAGCUCUAACAUGGCAAGCACAUACAACCUCCACCAUGUCUCUCUCUCUCUUUCUUUUUCUUUCUUUCUUUCCUAAAACUAACCCAGUUGUUUUUCUGUCGAACCGAAAACAACAAUCAAAAACCACAAUAGCCCAGGAAAACCCCAAAACCCAUUUGAUAUUCAUCAAAGAAUAAUCCAGCUGUGAUUGGAGCAGAUCUGUUGUGAGAUGAAAAAUAGAAUUAUGCUUGUGUUGAUUUUCCUUUACUAGUGGUUGUGAGUUGCAGAGACAAUAUAAUGAUCCAUGCUUGCUUUAUCAUCCUUUAAUUGAAUUCAAGUUACCUGGUGACUGGUGUAGAGAAGCAUUGGUUAAGAUGAGCAAGUAAUUUGAGAUUAUGGGAACGUGUGGCCAGAAAUCAUGCAAGUUUUUAUUUUUCAGUUUUGCUGAUUUUCGAACAGCAUAAACCAAAUCAAAAUCGAGUCAAAACAAAUUAAUUUAAACCGGUUUCUGUAAAUUAAUACGGUUCUUUUUUUUUAAGUUAAAAUGUGUACGCCGACUUCCUUCAUUGCCUUCAAUCUAUUGUCAUAAAACCUGUUGAAACUUGAAGAAUCUUAUUUGUUUCUCAGAUCAUCGGAUUUGAUCUAAUGAGAAGAAGAUUCUUGAAACAAUUUUGAUUAUUUUCAAUACCGAAAUCACUGCAACUUUUCCAGCUCACCUGUUGAAUCGGAACGAAGAAGACGAGCACGACUGUUUCACCCAGCAACGGUGUUGUUUUGGCAUAAAUGAAUAUUUUCAUUUUGGUCCCUGGACUUUUGCAAUUUCACAUUUGGAUCUCAAAUAAUCAAAUAUUUCUUUUAAGUUUGCCCUCAGAUUAAUUUCAAUUGAAUCCUUAAGUUAUAGCGCUAUUUACACAACAAUCCUGGAUUUUUAUAUUAUUCAAUUUGGUCCUUAAACUUUAAUUUCCUGCAAUCCUGCCUUAAUCAGCUUCAAACUUUGUUAUUUCUUCAAUUAAGUUCCUGAUUUUUUUAAUUAAUUAAAUAAAAAUUUAAUUAAUUUUGCAAACUUAUUAAUUCUUUAAUUAAACUCAUGAUUUCAUUAAUUAAACUAAUCCAAAUUUUAAUUAAAUUCUCAAACUUAUUAAUUCUUCAAUUUUUAAUCAAUUGACUCUCAAAUUUGAUAAUUUUAUUCCUGAAUUUCGAGUUUGUGUUGUUUUAAUUUCAUUCUCAAAUAUAUUUUAUGACAGUUGAUAAUAAACUAAAUGUUCCCAAAAUCAAUCAUGUCUGAGAGCAAGUAAUUUACAGUGUCAAAAUUUGAUAUGCAAUCUCUUAAUGUUGAUACUUGUUCUUCUCUCACUAUGUACCAUGUUAUGUUUUGCACAAAUCAAUGUGCAGAGACGAUGAGAAACCAUAAAGCAACAUUUUAUCAUACUUUUUUUAUCUUUUUUUUUUAUCAUACUUGUUCAAAAGGAUAGAAGGGAUAGAGUUCAUAAUUUCUAACAGGAAAAGUGCAUCAAUGGCAUUUUACUGUUGUGUUCAUACUUCAUAUACAGCGAAACCCCAUUUUGUUUUAGUAUAUGAACAGUGAAACCCAUUUUGUUUCUUGCAUUUUCUUCAUUGAAUUUCUUAAUCUCAAUUUCACCCUCUUAAAUUAUAUUAGCAUGGUUUUGUAUGUUAAUAUUUCUUUCAAUUUGUAUUUUUUUUACACAUUAAAAAGUGUCUAGAGGUAUUUCGAGGAUGUUUUGGAUAUGAAUUAAAUACCAAUCUUGCAAAAUAAAUCUUUAUUUAUAGUUAAAUAUAGAAAUUAAAAGAAGAAGGAUAAAAUUUCACAAAAACAAAUCCCAUUUAGAUAUUGGCAUAGAAAGUUAUAUUUGCUCUAUAGUUUUUAAUUAAUCUAUUGUUUGAUCCCUGUUAUUUUAGCAUUUCAAAUUUUUAUCUCAAACUUAAUUUGUUUUCUGUUUUAGUGUUUGAACGUUGAAAGAAGAUAGAUAAAAUCACUAAAAGAUAUUAAACAUGGACAUUCAUGUCACCAAAAAAGGUUAUCAUGGUGUCCAUUUGUUUUUUGUUUUUUUAGAAAAAUUUCAUGAGGGUGGUGCUUUCCUCUAAUCAUGCUAAAAAAAGUAGAUUGAGAUUGUUGAUGUUUUUUUUAUUUGUUUAAUUUUUAUUUUUUUUAGAGAGAUUAAAAGUUGGUUUUCAAUGGUUUUUAGAAUAUUUUUCAAGUGAAAAGGGGGUUAAGAAAUAGAUUUUUGGAUCCAGUCUAAACUUUAAUUUUUCAACAACUAGAAGUAAGUAGAGACUGGUAUAAAAGAUGAAAUGUCAUCUAUCUUAAUAAACAAAUUAUCAUUCGUUUACAAGAAAAUAAUUGGCGUAGAUGAUAUUGUUUAAAACUAAAAAAAAAAAAGUUUUUGAAUCUAGGCUAUAAGGUCCUAGCAAAGUAUGCGGCUUGACCUUUGUUUUUAAUUUUAAUUAAUGUUUGUAUUUAAAUUUUAAUAACUAUCUUAUUUUUUAUUUUUUAAAAUUUUUGGUUAACCUUUUUUAAUAUUAAUUAAUUUUUUUAAUAUAUUUUUUAAAAAUUUAUUAUGCUUCAAAGAGAUUAUUCUAAUUUUUAUUUAAUUUUUUUCAAUUUUCAUUUUAUAUUUUAAUAUAUUUAUAAAUAUUGACACCUUUUCUUACAUCAAAAUGUAACUUAGACUCCUUCUAAGACUAAUUAUAUUAGCUUAAUUUUAGAAACUUGUGUGAUGACUUUUCCAUACAUUAAUUAAUCUUUGAUUGCACAUCUUAGGUUAUGAAUUUUUUUAUAUUGUGGUUUGCGCGGUAUUUAUAAAAUCAAUGGUAAGUUUGUUGAUUAAAAAAAUUUGUUUUUUCAGUUCUAAGAUUCAUAUCUUAGAAAAAAUUUAUUCUUUCGUAUUGUUAUUCUCAAGUGUUAAAAAAUAAUUUAAAAAUUUACACAGAAUAUAGUUGAGAAGAACCCUAAGCAUGCACUUGUAGCAGUCACAUGUCAAAAGAUCAGUUAGACUUGAUUAUGCAUCUGAUCAUUUUGAGCUGAAAAUUCUUCAAUAAGUUAACAGUCAUAAGGAUCUAUCCAAAGAUACAAAUUGUCAAGAGAGAGAGAGAGAGAGGCAUUCAUAUCUUAGAUUCAAUGGUAAGUUUGUUGAUUAAAAAAAUUUGUUUUUUCAGUUCUAAGAUUCAUAUCUUAGAAAAAUUUUAUUCUUUCGUAUUGUUAUUCUCAAAUGUUAAAAAAUAAUUUAAAAAUUUACACAGAAUAUAGUUGAGAAGAACCCUAAGCAUGCACUUGUAGCAGUCAUAUGUCAAAAGAUCAGUUAGACUUGAAUAUGCAUCAUCUCAUUUUGAGCUGAAAAUUCUUGAAAAAGUUAACAGUCAUAAGGAUCGAUCCAAAGAUACAAAUUGUCAAAAAAGAGAGAGAAGCAUUCAUUGAAGUACAUUCCUUUAAUUAAUUCAUCCAUCCAUGCUUUGACAAAGUCGGUGGGCUGUGGGACCAUUCUUUUCAGCCUUUUGUUCUCAUCACCCGACACAUAUCCACGUGCUUAGUUCCUAUUGAUUCACACUUCUGCUUUACCCCUACAUCCUCCCCUCUCUCUUUUUAUUUUUUUUGACUUCUCACUUCAGGUCUCCGCCGGAGACCUGAAGUGAGAAGUCAAAAAAAAUAAAAAGAGAGAGGGGGUCUGAAAGAAAGACCUCCUCCACUCUCGUAAAAGACCAAAAAAAUAUGAUGGUGGGCGGAGGGCUGACGACAGUGGAAGUGCAGACGGACGGACGUGAGGCAGUGAGAGGUUGAGUUUAUCUGCGAUCUCUUUAACAAUCGACUCUAUGAACUUUGACUCAUACCUGCAAAACACAUUCAUACAAAUUAAAUCACGGAUUAAUUUGCUAAUUCCUCAUCAGAUCAACAUAGAAGAAGAAGACGAAGAAGAAGAGACAUAUACAGCAAAAAAAAUCAGCUUGGAAUACAUCGAUGCAGAUGGGUGGAUGCUGAAUUGACAAAUUAAGAAACACGACCACACUUGUACAAUAUCCUCUGCGGAUCUAGAAUUGUUCAGGUUGAACUUCUUAAACUGCAAAGAUUCUGGUCUUCUUCCCAGACUUGCUUGACCUCGCUAGAUCGGUCAGCUUCAAGCUCAAAAAGGGUUCCGAUCAAAAUUUAAUUACAAGGCAAACAUCUCAGAG